rnacentral:rRNA from 1 species
UGCUAUAUGAAAAUUAAUAUAAAGUAAUCUCCUGNCCAAUGAUAUUUUAAUGGCCGCGGUAUCCUAACCGUGCAAAGGUAGCAUAAUAAUUUGUCCAUUAAUUGUGGGCUAGUAUGAAGGGGGUAACGAAAUAAGAACUGUCUACAACAAUACUAUCUAUAAAUUAUUUUUAAAGUGAAGAAACUUUUAUAAUAUUAAAGGACAAGAAGACCCUAUAGAGCUUAAUCACACAAAUAUACAUAGUAUACUUUCAGAUUCGGUUGGGGCGACCAAGGAUAACUCAUCCUAUAUCUAUAUAGAUACAUCUCUCACUCCAUUGAUCCACUAUGUGACAUAAAACCAAGCUACCUUAGGGAUAACAGACUAAUCUUUCUCUAGAGUCCUUAUCAACAGAAAGGAUUGGCACCUCGAUGUUGGCUUAGAUUCCAUUGUAACGCAGAUGUUACAAAGCGGUGGUUUGUUCAACCUAUCACCAUCU